CCUGUUCUUCAUUACUUGGCUC
rnacentral:miRNA from 15 species